CCGUGCCGCAGCCCCCGCCGCCGCCACCGAGCCCGGCGCCACCGCCUCGGAGCAGAAGAUGGCUGUGCCACCCACGUAUGCCCAUCUCGGCAAAUCUGCCAGGGAUGUCUUCACCAGGGGCUAUGGAUUUGGCUUAAUGAAGCUUGAUUUGAAAACAAAAUCUGAGAAUGGAUCGGAAUUUAUAAGCUCAGGCUCAUCCAACACUGAGACCACCAAAGUGACAGGUAGCCUGGAAACCAAGUACAGAUGGACUGAGUACGGCCUGACGUUUACAGAGAAAUGGAACAUCGACAAUACACCAGGCACCAGGCACCAGGCACCGAGAUUACCUUGGAAGAUUAGCUUGCACGUGGACUGAAGCCUGACUUUCCAUUCAUCCUUCUCACCUAAUACUGGGGGGAAAAAAUGCUAAAAUCAAGACAGGGUACAAGCAGGAGCACAUUAACCUGGGCUGUGACAUGGAUUUCGACAUUGCUGGGCUUUCCAUCUGGGGUGCUCUGGUGCUGGGUUAUGAGGGCUGCCUGGCUGGCUACCAGAUGAAUUUUGAGACUGCAAAGUCUGGAGUGACCCAGAGCAACUUUGCGGUUGGCUACAAGACUGAUGAAUUCCAGCUUCAUACUAAUGUGAAUGACGGGACAGAGUUUGGCGACUCCAUUUACCAGAAGGUGAGCAAGAAGUUGGAGACCACUGUCAGUCUCACCUGGACAGCAGGAAUCAGUAACAGGUGCUUCGGAAUAGCAAGCAAGUAUCAGAUUGACCCUGACGCCUGCCUCUCGGCUAAAGUGAACAACUCCAGCCUGACAGGUUUAGGAUACACUCAGACUCUAAAGCCAGGUAUCAAACUGACACUGUCAGCUCUUCUGGAUGGCAAGAACGUCAAUGCUGGUGGCCACAAGCUUGGUCCAGGACUGGAAUUUCAAGCAUAAAUGAAUACUGUGCAAUUGUUUAAUUUUAAACUAUUUUGCAGCAUAGCUACCUUCAGAAUUUAGUGUAUCUUUUAAUGUUGUAUGUCUGGGAUGCAAGUAUCGCUAAAUAUGUUAGACCUCCAGGUUAAAGAUGAUUCAGCUUUAAGAUGUUACCCUUUCGGAGGUACAGAAGAAACCCAUUUCCGAAAAAGUCCUUUCAGUGGUAGACUUGGGGGGAACUUGGGAGCCCCUUUGAGAUGCCAGGUUUCUUUUUUAUCUAGAAAUGGCUGCAAGUGGAAGCUGAUAAUAUGUAGGCACUUUGUAAAUUCAUAUUGAGUAAAUGAAUGAAAUUGUGA